UGAUCAGAGUCUAAUGAGAAUAUUGACACUGAAACCUGAAGGAGAAGAUAUGUAACCUUCAUCUUUUAAAAAGGCAUAGGAGACAUAACUUUUCCAUUCCUUCAGCAAACACACCUGAAAAACCUACAGGACUGAAGGACAGAAAUAACACAGGCACUGAAGAAACAGUUUGUG
rnacentral:lncRNA from 12 species